GAUCAUGGCUCAGAUUGAACGCUGGCGGCAUGCUUUACACAUGCAAGUCGAACGGUAACAGGCCGCAAGGUGCUGACGAGUGGCGAACGGGUGAGUAAUGCAUCGGAACGUGCCCAGUCGUGGGGGAUAACGCAGCGAAAGCUGUGCUAAUACCGCAUACGAUCUAUGGAUGAAAGCGGGGACCGUAAGGCCUCGCGCGAUUGGAGCGGCCGAUGUCAGAUUAGGUAGUUGGUGGGGUAAAGGCUCACCAAGCCAACGAUCUGUAGCUGGUCUGAGAGGACGACCAGCCACACUGGGACUGAGACACGGCCCAGACUCCUACGGGAGGCAGCAGUGGGGAAUAUUGCACAAUGGGCGAAAGCCUGAUGCAGCAACGCCGCGUGAGGGAUGAAGGCCUUCGGGUUGUAAACCUCUUUUAGCAGGGAAGAAGCGAAAGUGACGGUACCUGCAGAAAAAGCACCGGCUAACUACGUG
rnacentral:rRNA from 1 species